CCUACGGGAGGCAGCAGUGAGGAAUAUUGGUCAAUGGACGAGAGUCUGAACCAGCCAAGUAGCGUGAAGGAUGACUGCCCUAUGGGUUGUAAACUUCUUUUAUAAAGGAAUAAAACGAGGCACGUGUGCCUUUUUGCAUGUACUUUAUGAAUAAGGAUCGGCUAACUCCGUGCCAGCAGCCGCGGUAAUACGGAGGAUCCGAGCGUUAUCCGGAUUUAUUGGGUUUAAAGGGAGCGUAGAGGGGUUGUUAAGUCAGUUGUGAAAGUUUGCGGCUCAACCGUAACAUUGCAGUUGAUACUGGCAGCCUUGAGUACGGGUGAGGUAGGCGGAAUGCGUGGUGUAGCGGUGAAAUGCUUAGAUAUCACGAAGAACUCCGAUUGCGAAGGCAGCUUACUAAACUGCCACUGACGUUGAUGCUCGAAAGUGUGGGUAUCGAACAGGAUUAGAUACCCGAGUAGUC
rnacentral:rRNA from 1 species